ensembl:lncRNA
AGUCCCGUGUCACUGUUUGGGGUGUAGCUGUAAAAGUCUUAAUGCAGUGUGACACCUCAGUCAUUUGCAUUUUCCAAAAGCUUCCCAGCAGUUCUUUCCUAAGCAUAUCAGAAAGAGAGGUUUCAUUCUCAGUGUUGUAGAAAGCAAGGCCAUAUGUGAGUUUGAUAAUUUCACUGUUGCAAAUGCUAUAACCAGUGCAAGUGGCUGACUGGCUAUAAGUCAGAACUUGCUACUGUUGUUUAUAGGAACACGCUGUCUUGACAUGCCUGUAUUCAGCAGGUCUUCUGAUCUGUUUUUCUGAUAUGUAAGUAUUUGGUAACUACAUCAAGGAAUCACACACAUCCUGGGGAGGAAUUUCACUCAGUAGAAUCCCAUUUGCAGUAGUAGUGUAAAUUUUAGCAAAUAAUUUAAAAAGAGAGUUGGUGUAUAUAUUCAGGUAAUGCUUUUUUUUCGUCAUCCCUGUCUGCAGGCAGUGUGAUGCUCAUUUGUGGCAUCCUUCUCUAGAAAGCACUUGAAGCUUCUAUCUUCUAAACACAAGGAACUGAAGGACUUUGAAUUGUGGCCAAACUUGUGCAGCCUUAGAGACAAGCUUUUAUUCACGAGUUACCUUGCCAACCACAAGUAGCACCUUCUCAGAUGAAGUGUGUCAUACCUUCAUGCCACUUUACAGAAGGGGCUCCAGAAUCUCUAUUCAAUCUUCCUGCCAAUGACAACAAACAAACAAAGAAAAGCCCUUGAUGGUAAUACUUAUUGUCUCCUUUACUGAUAUCCAGUAAAGGGACUAGGUAGAAGGAAUAUUAUUUGUCAGCAUGAUGUCAGUUUAGCAGGCCUUGCAAAAAUGUUCUGUCCUUUCUUUAGAAAUACAGGAAAAGCCCUGCUGAAACUACAGAAUAAAUUCUUUCCCUUUUCAGAAAGCAUCUUCUGCUCCGUAUCACGUAGUCCGCAGGACUCCCAGCAUUACCUUACUUCAAAAUUUGGUCAUUUUUGUGAAUAUCAAAGAUGAUGGAGCUGAUGGUAAAUUCAUACUUUAAAGUGGCUGCUCCUGUUGUUUAACUGAGUUGCAAGUGCAAUGUGUUUGAAUUGCAGAAAUAGGAGAGCUAAGUGUGGUUUCUUAAUAGGCUACAGUUUAUGAAAGAUCCUGAACUCCUUGUCAAUUGCUUCCCUUGGUCUUUGAGAAUUAGAAUUUGCUGAAAUUUCUGGUAGUGCACCCAAGCAUUUGACGAGAGGAUAUCUGCUGUGGGGAUGUCUGGUGUUCAGUCUUGGAGCACGGGCAGCCAGCUGCUUAUGGCUAAUUAAGUGAGAGAAUUUCUCACACAGAGUUGAUUUAAUUUCUGUUAGAAUGCCCAGAGCACCAAAUGCAUGUCUGGUCACUGCAAAAACAUCCUUAAUACACAUUGAAAGAAUUAAUGCAAUUAAUUCACCACCACCAGAGGAAAAACCUUGGGAUUUGUUUGUGCAAAUUGAAAACUGAAAAUGAAUUUGCAAAACUAACUGUAUGAUAUUCUCACUUUUUACAUCAUGUGAGUUCUGUUUGUCAUGUAAAGCUCUGUCCUGAGAAGCAAGAAGCACGUACUAUGUUAACUAGGAGAGAUGAUGGGUCUCCUAAUUCCCUGUUGGAGACUGGAGAGUCCAUGACCUGUUUGUCCCAGGCAGUAAUGAAGACCUUUUCCCCAGGGGUUCAGAUAUCUCUUGGCCAUUUUAUUUUGCUUAAGCAUUUUUAUUUGUUAUAAUGAGAACUUGGGAAAAGAACAGUUCAAAAUGUAAAAAUAGCAAAAUGUGCGGAGGCUGCCGUUCAUUUUGUAAGUCAAAGCUUGUGACUAAAGUAUGCUGCUUAGCAACAAAUGGGGGAAAUCUGAAGGUGAUCACAUCAUUUUGCUCUCCCUGAAAAGUAAUUAUUCAUGUUCCUCCUACCUUUUAAGCACCAUCCUUUUCAUGUCCCUUUUCUGCUUGGGAUGAGCGCUAUGUGGCUGGUUGAGUUGUGCAACCUAGUUUUAUCAUCAGCAAUACUUGUGCUGCUGCAGCUGUGAUUCAGCUGGAGAGCUCCAGCUCAGAUUUCAGCUCUCUCUCUCCCAUAAUGCUGCACAUAAUGUGUACUUGUCCUUAUGGACCAAGACAUAAAUGUAUGUGGAACUGUUGGGGGGAGUCCAGAAGAGGGUCAUGAAGAUGAUCAGAGGGCUGGAGCACCUCUCCUAUGCAGAUAGGCUGAAAGAACUGGGCUUAAAGGAGGGGAAUCAACUUUUUUUACAUGGGUAGAUAGUGGUAGACAAGGGGGAAUACUUUAAACUUAAGGAGGAAAGAUUUAGAUUGAAUGUUGGGGGAAUUUUUUUACUGAGAGUGGUCAGGUGCUGGAACAGGCUGCCCAGAGAGGUUGUGGAUGCUCCGUCCCUGGAGGUGUUCAAGGCCAGGUUAGGUGGGGCCCUGGGCAGCCUGGUCUGGUGCUUGAUCUAGUGGCUGGCAGCCUGCCUGUGGCAGGGGGAUUGUAACCUGAUGAUCCUUGGGGUCCUUUCCAACCCAAGCCAUUCUGUGAUUCUGUAUGUGGCCAUUCAUUAAGCUCGUACAUCAGUCUCAAUGAGCGCUGUUCACCAACUCUUGCCUUAACUCUCCUUCUGUGACUUCUUACACCCUGAUUUCUGAGUUUGACUUUUCACGUCUUUUUGUAUGACUUCAAAGAGCACAAGGUUGCUUUUCUUUCUAGGCUUGAUUUUUCUUUAGGAAAUUACUUGUACUCCAGGUUGAAAACAACAUUUUUCAUAAAUAUUACUUAUUAACUAUUCUUGGUUUGGGGCAGUUAGUAAGCUGUAAAGUUUCUGUUCAUUUCCUUUGAAAAAAAUGUGAUGAUUGUCUUCCCUAACUGACUGAGAGUACUCCCCACCAGUCUGGUUAGAAUCCUCACAUUCUGGGUUUGGAUUAAAGCUUUUAACAAUUUUUAUCCUCAGUAAACAAACACCCCAGAAAUCCACCUAUGUGCAGAAUGUGUUCAACAGUUCUUGAAAUAGUGUUCUGUUUCUGAGCUUGCAUUUGGAUAAAAGGCUGUGCAUCUUCAGACUAUGAAACCAUUUCAGAAAACAAAACAAUCAAACAAAAACAAAAAACAAACAAACAAACAAAUACAAAAUCCCACCCAAAACACUAGGGAGGGGAGGUAGCUCUCAGUUUUAGAAACAAUUCUCGUUGACUGCUCUGGCAAUGAUCUUCAGAAUUACCUCAUUAUUUAUUCUUAGUGCACCAAUUAAACAAACGGUUUUAUAUAUAGAAACAGGAUGGACUUAGCUUUUUCAGGGUCCUUUUCAGAGACAGACAUCAAAGAUGUACAGGAUCUAUUUGCUUACACGUGAUGUUUAAGCCACCUGAAAUAUGGCAGGAAUCCCUAAGAAGCCAAUGGGGCUGAGAAAGAAAAAAUAAUCCCAGUUUUUUGUUUGUAACACAUUGUGGAAAAGAUUAAGAUUGCAAUUAUUUGUUCAAAUGUUCAUGUGAAGGAAAUAUUAGUGAAAAAAAAAAUCCUGAUUAUGAUCCGUCAGCGAGUGAUGUGCAAUAUAAUGCUUUUGGUUAUAUGAAGUAUGAUCAAGGCAGCAGUUGAAAUAUCUUUGCCGUCUGAAAAGACUUUUUUUAUAGAUUAGCACUUGACACACUGAGGUGUGCAGUAGAACAGUCCUCAGAAGUUUCUAGCUGUUUUUUUUAAUUUGGACAGGCAGGACUCUUGGAGGAUGUCUAGAUUUCUGUUGUUGUGGUAG